AGAAGUAAAAUGUCCGUACAGGUGCCUGUACUCCGUUGUACAGCAGUAGUAGAGGCGUACAGUACUAAUAACGAGGUUGUAAAAAAAGAUUCUUAUAAACAGGCAAUGCUGUCUUUAAACCGAAAUGAGUUUAGCGAGAUAGUUCUCUGCGUAUCAGUUCUGGAGAAAAAUAUUGAAAAAAAUAGGAAUAUUGUUCUCCGGCAUUCCGAUCUAGAAAUACACAGAAGAUUUAUCAAGGAAGGAAAGGUUUCCAUUAGUUUUAAGGAGAGUAGAACUAAGCUUCUUCUAUCGAAUGCUCCUCCCAAUGAGUUGGUCAUAUUCGUCAAGACAAUGGCGGCCAAGGUGGCCGGGCUCAAGAAUAAAGCUAAAGUCUCCAUCCGGUCAAAGCUGAUUUCAGAGAAGGGGAACUCAGUAGAAGGUAUCAGCCCUGUGACCGCUAAGGAUAUGCGUAACCUCCAGCUAGCCGAGGCUGGUGGGAAUGGCCUCCUAAAGUCCCGAGGUUAUACGCCAAAAACCGCCUCUCCGCUUACCGGCGGGAAGAUGAUCAAGAGAAAACGGUUGGAUGAGAAGGAGAACGGCGGUAGUCCAAUGUUGGGUAAAAGCGGUGGGUUGGUGAGGGGAACGGAUGGACCGACACCGAAGCGACAAAUGACGUUUGCGAGAAGAACUCUACGGGAAGACCAAUCUAGGGUUAUGACCUCAGAGCAGAAGUAUGUGGUGGAGAUGGUCAAGGGAGGCAAAAAUAUUUUCUUUACUGGUGGUGCAGGAACUGGGAAGAGUUUUCUUAUUAACAAAAUUAUAGGUGUACUGCCUCCAGAGCAUACGUACAUCACUGCCAGUACAGGUGUAGCAGCGUUUCAAAUUGGUGGAACUACACUCCAUACCUUUGCUGGUAUAGGUAGUGGGUCUGCUGGAGUAGCUAAAUGCAUAGAAUUAGCACAGCGUAAAAGUAUCAGCGCCCAGUGGAGGAAAUGUAAACAUUUAAUUAUCGACGAGAUAUCUAUGGUUGACGGAAACUUCUUCAAAAAACUGGAGAUGGUCGCUAAAGCUGUCAGAGGAAAUGAUAAACCGUUUGGUGGAAUCCAGCUGAUUCUAACUGGAGACUUCCUGCAGCUGCCUCCUGUUGUAAAAGGCGACGAGGAAAGACGAUUUGCGUUUGAAACCAGUGCAUGGCAAAGAUGCGUACAGAUAAAUGUAGAGCUUACGCAAGUAAAGCGUCAGUCAGAUCAGAAUCUAGUGACAAUACUGAAUAAGUUGAGAUUGGGUGAAUGUGGAGAUAGAGAGACGAGUAUAUUGAAAGGUACGAAGACGAAUGAUCUAGCAAAGAACGGAAUAGUUCCAACCAAACUCUGUACUCAUACAGAUGAUGUCAACUCAAUCAAUACCAAGGAGUUAAACCUAUGUGGAGGAGAGGAGAAGAUAUACCGAGCCCUGGAUUCAGAUUCAGGAAUGACCUCAUUCAUUAACAAUUCUACUCCAGUAGAUCAGGUUUUGAGAUUAAGAGUUGGUGCUCAGGUUAUGCUUAUGAAGAAUUUAAAUGUACUGCAGGGUUUAGUGAAUGGAGCCCGGGGAGCUGUUGAGAGGUUUAGCUCUGAAGGAAACCCCGUUGUCAGGUUUAUCGGAGGGAAAACGGAAGAAAUUAAAACCGAAAAAUGGCAGGUAAAGAAUGGUGUUGGUGGAUUACUGAGUAGGACUCAGUUACCUCUUAGGUUGGCCUGGGCAUUCUCUAUUCAUAAAUCUCAAGGGAUGACACUAGAUUGUGUAGAGGUAUCUCUAUCCCGCGUAUUUGAGUGUGGCCAAGCUUAUGUUGCAUUAAGUCGAGCCAAGAGCCUGGAAUCUCUGCGUAUACUUGACUUUAAACCUGGGUGCGUCAGAGCUGAUACAAAGGUUUUGAAGUUCUAUCGGAAUCUGAAGUGUAGCAAACCAAUUCUUCAACAAUCAAUGAAUCAGUACAUGGACAGCUGAUAAAUACCCCAGUUAUGAAUAGUACCAGUUUAUUUUGAAUAUGAGAAUAGAAAAGUAAUGUUGGUGUUCAGUAUCUAACAUCAUCUUUGUACCUGAAAAUGAUCUCUAAAGAUUUAUUCUAUAAAUCUUUUUCUAGUUUUACAAAAAUAACGAUUUUGUAUAUUUUCAGA
rnacentral:misc_RNA from 1 species